GAAACUAACAAGGAUUCCCCUAGUAACGGCGAGUGAAGCGGGAAGAGCACAAAUUUAAAAUCUACCUGGUUUUCAGGUCGAGUUGUAAUUUGAAGAAACGUUUUUGAUAUUCCGGGUUGGGAUAAAUCCUUUGGGAUGAGGUAUCAUGGAGGGUGAGAAUCCCGUGUAUACCAACCACAGGGAUGUUAUUUAAUACGUUUUCUAAGAGUCGAGUUGUUUGGGAAUGCAGCUCUAAAUGGGUGGUAAAUUUCACCUAAUGCUAAAUAUAAGCGAGAGACCGAUAGCGAACAAGUACCGUGAGGGAAAGAUGAAAAGAACUUUGAAAAGAGAGUUAAAUAGUAUGUGAAAUUGUUGAAAGGGAAACGAUUGAAGUCAAUCAUGCCGGCGGGAAUCAACUUAGGGGAAACUUUAAGUGCACUUCACGUUUGGCAAGUCAGCGUCGAUUUUGAAUAUCAUAAAAUAAUUGGGAGAAGGUAGCUCUUUCGGGAGUGUUAUAGCUCUCGAUAGAUGUGAUAUUUGGAAUCGAGGAUUGCAACGGAUACCCUUUGGGCUAGCCGUCUGAUCUCUAACUGGUGUUGGGUUAUGGACAGCAUGCUGACCAUGAUUUAAUUACUGGUUAAAAGGUUAGAGCGAGUGUAAAUUCGUUAAGGACGCUG
rnacentral:rRNA from 1 species